rnacentral:rRNA from 1 species
CGACGGGUGAGUAACGCGUAUGCAACUUGCCUAUCAGGAGGGGAUAACCCGGCGAAAGUCGGACUAAUACCGCAUGAAGCAGGGGCCCCGCAUGGGGAUAUUUGCUAAAGAUUCAUCGCUGAUAGAUAGGCAUGCGUUCCAUUAGGCAGUUGGCGGGGUAACGGCCCACCAAACCGACGAUGGAUAGGGGCUCUGAGAGGAAGGUCCCCCACAUUGGUACUGAGACACGGACCAA